GCCCAGAUAGCUCAGUCGGGAGAGCAGGGGACUGAAAAUCCCCGUGUCGGUGGUUCGAUUCCGCCUCUGGGCACCA
rnacentral:tRNA from 1 species